AUUGAACGCUGGCGGAAUGCUUUACACAUGCAAGUCGAGCGGCAGCACGGGGGCAACCCUGGUGGCGAGCGGCGAACGGGUGAGUAAUACAUCGGAACAUGCCCAGUCGUGGGGGAUAACACUUCGAAAGAAGUGCUAAUACCGCAUACGUCCUGAGGGAGAAAGCGGGGGAUCGCAAGACCUCGCGCGAUUGGAGUGGCCGAUGUCAGAUUAGCUAGUUGGUGGGGUAAAGGCCUACCAAGGCAACGAUCGGUAGCUGGUCUGAGAGGAUGAUCAGCCACACUGGGACUGAGACACGGCCCAGACUCCUACGGGAGGCAGCAGUGGGGAAUUUUGGACAAUGGGGGCAACCCUGAUCCAGCCAUUCCGCGUGAGUGAAGAAGGCCUUCGGGUUGUAAAGCUCUUUCGGCAGGAACGAAACGGCGAGCUCUAACAUAGCUUGCUAAUGACGGUACCUGAAGAAGAAGCACCGGCUAACUACGUG
rnacentral:rRNA from 1 species